AGACCGAUAGCGAACAAGUAGAGUGAUCGAAAGAUGAAAAGUACUUUGGAAAGAGAGUCAAAUAGCACGUGAAAUUGUUGUAGAGGAAGCGCUUGCAGCCAGACGUCCCCGUAGUCGCUCACCCGGUCUCCUGACCGGGGCACUCUUCUGCGGGGAGGCCAGCAUCAGUUUGGGCGGUCGGAGAAAGGCCUCUGUCACGUACCUCCCUCCGGGGAGGCCUUAUAGGGGAGGCGCAAUGCGACCAGCCCGGACUGAGGUCCGCGCAUCUGCUAGGAUGCUGGCGUAAUGGCUGUAAGCGGCCCGUCUUGAAACACGGACCAAG
rnacentral:rRNA from 1 species